rnacentral:lncRNA from 1 species
ACCAUAACUUCUAUCUUCAAAACUAGAGAAAACCCAUCAACAAAUUAACUUUAGAGAUCAUGACACUUAGCCAAAUUGAUCAAGUUCACGGAGUUAUACUAGUGAAGAAGUUCGUCGGUGGCGACAAAAAGAGAGGAGGCGUGAUUCCGGUGAAGAGGAAGUUGGUGAAGAAGAUGGUGUUCGAUGCCAUUUUGCUGUCUGUCGCCACGGUUCUCAACCACUUCUGCAACGGUAACAAAGAACGACGAUAAUAGCGAAAUCAGGAUGAUCCGAUAUUUGAUUUCAUCAACGGACGAAGGCGGCAAGGACAGGGAAAUAUAUACUAUAUUUUGAUGGACUAGUACCAUCAUGCAUGAUAAUUAUCAAUUGGGAUACGUUCUUUGUAAUAUAUUGAUAGGGGUUAGACCGACGUUAUCUAACGAGAGAAUCCCUGUCAAUUAACGAUUCUCUUGUAGUAAUAUAUUUCGAUCGGGGUAGACUAUUUUGUAAAUGGCAAGUCACAUGUAAAUAAAAUAAUUAAUUUACUAUAAGGG